UCUCCCCUCCUCUUCACUCCCUUCACCUCCCUUCCCCCUCUUUCUUCUUCCCUUGACUCCAGCCCCCUGUCGGCCGCCUAUCUCCCGAUGCCCCCUGGAUAGCUGUGCAGAGCCCUGAGCGACCCCUUCGGCCCGGAGCCGUCGGCUCCCCACGCUGUCCGUCACUCCUAAGCCAGCGCUGGGCUGAGCGAGGCAGCGGCGCUGUGGACCCCGCAGCCCCGCCGGGAAAACUCCCCUCGCUCCUCUGUCCUCGCUGCGACCGCCACCCUCAUUUCAUUUGAAUAGAAAACGGGAAAAGUUCCUUCUUGUUCACCCACUGCUUUCCCAAGCCUCCUCCAGCUGCGCCCAGAGCUGAAAUGGCGAUUUUAUUUCUGUCCUGUAUGGGGCCGGACCGAGGAUUACCCCGCCACAAGCUAUCUGCUGGGUUCUGCAUGUUCGUCCCCUACCCCCUUGUGUGAAUUGCUACAGGGAGUGUGGGAAAGGCGGGAGGGAAAGGGGGCUAUGGGCAUCCUCUGGACCCGCAGAGCGCAGAAGGGGCUGCCUUGGCCGCCCCCAGUUCUCCUGGGCUCCUCCAGUGGGAAUGGGGUUGGUGGCUGGGGGAGGAGGCUCAGAUGCCGUGGUCCUGGCCCUGGGUGUAUGUCGCCUUUGGAAGCAAGUAUCAAAGCCAGCCGGAGCAUGUGCUAUUGUUUCGUUGGAAGUGAGUUCCAAGCCACCGCUUUCCAUCUGUUGAGUGUCUGAGUGCUGCUUGUUGAGAGAGUCUGGUGCACACAGGCUCCUCCUUCCCGCUGGGGCCUGCUGGAGCCGGCCAGCCAGUGCCAGGGCCAGUGGUCACUUCCUCUCCCUUCCCUGGCCAGCCUGGUCUCCACCUGGUGGAUGGUCACAGGCUUUACAGACACCCCAGGGCCACCUGGAGCCCUGGUGGCAGCUGGGAUCCUGCGGAAGGUGAGGGCUCCCUGCCUGUUCGUGGGAGUGGCAUCGUCCUGUGAGGUAAGUGGUUGCCCUCAGCCUUUGGCCAGUCCAUCCUGUGUCACUUUAUGUCUCCCACCUGCUUUCAUGGCGGGGGGCGUGCUCCCAAAGAACAACAGCUUGGAACUCGAUAGCCUGGCACCCCCUGCCCACAGCUCCAGUGGAGUCUGUGUAAGAGCUUGGGCACCAUGAGCUGUGCUUUUCAAGUGACAGGGGUGAGAAGGGGACAGCCUGGAGGCCUUUGGGGUGGGGGGGCCCAGCUGGGUGGUUACAGUGGGACACCUGACUCGCCAUGGGGAUACUGUGUCCCGAGCUCAUUGAAGUGAGCACUAUUACUAGUAGUUCAAUUUGUUGUCAAAUGUUCCGGCGCUAUUUGGGCUAAUCCAGAGACUGUGCUGUUGGGGCCGCGUGUGCCGCCUGGCAUGGAGUUCUUAUCAGCAGAUGGCUCGUUGGCUUGCCACUUAGUUAUUCUCCAUCCCUUAUUGUCAUCUGGCCUAGUCUUCUGUAACCAUUUCCUCCAAGAGCCCCAGAAGGACGAGUGGCCACCCAUGGGGGGUGGUUCUGCAGGGCAGUUCCCCGGUCUCAGAAGACUCUGUGUGCAUCCAGCGCCAGUGCAGGCUGGCCCUAACACUGCCUGACUGAUUCUGUGCUCAGAAGAAUAAUCGCAUCUAUCAUUAUUUUGCACUCUUAGGAGCUGGACUGGACUGCUGUAUAGAAACUGGAUCGAUGGGGCUGCAGCAGCUGCCCAGAGAGGAACCCUUUCCUCUCCCAGAUCCCCAUGGAGCAGUGUGGUCUUCCGUUCAUCAACAAUCUCAUUCCUGUGUGUUGGGUGCUGUUCUGGGCGCUGGGGAUUCAGUAGUGAACAGAAUAAGCAGAGAUCCCUGGCCAGAGAAGCUGGCAUUCUCUGGGGGAGACAGACACGAUAGUAUAAAUAAAUAGAAUGUGUAGAGUGUUGCAUAAAAAUUAGGGCAAAGAAGAAAAAUCCACAGUGAGACCCUAUCUCUAAAAAAGAAAAAUCCUGUGGGGAAGGGGAGAUAGAACGUGCAGUGUGAAGGAGUUGGAAUUUUAGAGAAAGUGGCCAGGCAAAAGGUCACGUAGGAGGAAGGACCUCAUGGGCAUUAGGAGCAAGAAGCCUGUGUGUAUCAGAGGGAGGGACCUCUGGCACAGAAGCCGCCUCAUGCAGGAGGCUGCGUGGCCAGAGUGGAGGGAGGGAGUGGGCUCUGGGGUACCGGAGUGGGCUGUGAGGUCAGAGAGGUGACGGGGCAACCCCACGUGGUCACAUGAAUGGCCUGAGCUCACUCUUCCUCCACUGCAUGCCUUGCGGAAGGCAGUGCAGAGGGCUGUGGUCUGACGCGAGUUUUCACAGGUUCCUCUCGGCUGCUGGAGGAGGGUGCAUGGAGGGGGCCGGGCAGGGAGGCCAGUGAGCAGCAGCUGCAGCCAGCUUUGCAAAGCGUGAUAGGGCUUGAACCACGGUCAGGUGUGUUGGGGUCCUUCAGCGAAGCAGAUCAGUAGUGAGGAGUUGGCUCACAUGAGGACGGAGGCUGAGAAGUCCUGCCAGCUGCCUCCUGCAAGCCGGAGCCCCGGGAAAGCUGGUGGUAUGGCUCCGGUGUGAGUCUGAGGGCCUGACACCCAAGGAGCUGACGGUGGGCACCCAGUCCCAGGGCAGAAGGCCAGUGUCCCAGCCGGGAGCUGACAGUGGGCACCCAGUCCUAGGGCAGAAGGCCAGUGUCCCAGCCAGGAGCUGACGGUGGGGACCCAGUCCCAGGGCAGGAGAAGGCCAGUGUCCCAGCCGGGAGCUGACGGUGGGCACCCAGUCCCAGGGCAGAAGGCCAGCGUCCCAGCCGGGAGCUGAUGGUGUUGACCCAGUCCCAGGGCAGGAGAAGGCCAGCGUCCCAGCCGGGAGCUGAUGGUGUUGACCCAGUCCCAGGGCAGAAGGCCAGUGUCCCAGCCAGGAGCUGAUGGUGGGGACCCAGUCCCAGGGCAGGAGAAGGCCAGUGUCCCAGCCGGAGCUGAUGGUGGGCACCCAGUCCCAGGGCAGGAGAAGGCCAGUGUCCCAGCCGGGAGCUGAUGGUGGGGACCCAGUCCCAGGGCAGGAGAAGGCCAGUGUCCCAGCCGGGAGCUGAUGGUGGGGACCCAGUCCCAGGGCAGGAGAAGGCCAGUGUCCCAGCCGGGAGCUGAUGGUGGGGACCCAGUCCCAGGGCAGGAGAAGGCCAAUGUCCCAGCCCAAGCAGGCAGGCAGGAAGAAAGAGGCAAUUCCUCCUUCUCCUGCCGACUUGUUCUCUUCAGGCCUUCGAGGGGUUACAUGAUCCCAUGCACACGGGAAGGCACCUGCUCGCCACAGUCCACCACUGCAAAUGCUGGUCUCAUCCAGAGGCACCUCACAGACUCCCCCAAAGACAGCACGUCCCCAGCUAUUGGGUGUCCUGGGCUGGCCAGGUGGACACACAGACCUCACCUGUGCAGGUGGUGAGGAAUAGUUGACUCUGCAUCCAAGUUGGAGGUUGUGGGGUCUUCAUUUGUGCCUGUUUCCUAGGCGGACGUUGUGCCUCUUCUCUGCCCUCCUUCCCCCGGCUCUGCCUGCAGUCAUGUUCCUUGGUCCUGGACAGCCUUGGUGGGGAAGUUUCCAGAAGUGGCGCCUGCUCCAUGCACCCCACAUCAGCCCCAGGGGCUCCUGGUAUCCUAAACCUGCAUCCCUGCUCUUGGCCCGGCUGCCAGGAAUGCUGCCAAUGUCAGUUCCUCUGAAUCAAGGUAUUCUGGGUUUCUCGUCAGCCCAGAAAGGAGGCAUCAUUUAUAAUAGAAAAUUAAAAUGAAAAGAAUAAGAAAGAA